AUUGGUGGCCUAUUUUUCUGCUUAAGGACAGGGAGGGACCGUUGAGUCACACACAAUCUCAUGGCCUCCUCCUCCUCCUCCUCUCAUUUAAAUAUUAAUAUGAUGAAUUAUUACUAGAGUAACAGCUGUGCACUGCUCGUGUCACAGAAACAUAACCUCCUCCUCCUCAUCAGAUCGCGGCUAUUCCUGACUAGCGCUUUCUGGUCGACCUUCUCACUUGUUCUGUAUGACUUCUUAAAAAUCAUUCUGUUAGUUCUGGUGUGGUGUCGUUAGGAUAAUUGUUUCGCUCUGUUCUUUUCUGCUUAAAUAUUAAUGAUACUGAGGAAUUCAAAAGAUAGCUCCAAUAAUGGUAGCUGUACAAAAACAAAGGUGGUUUUGCUGACACUACCCCACCCUACUCCCAGGGCAUCUCUCCACUUUGGAGUGACCAAGGUAUCAUUGAUAUUUUAAAUAACAUCUGUACAGUGGUAUACAUCCUUACCACGCUGGCCGUACUGCGGCUGCAAGGACCAGUACAGAGCUGUGCCAGGAUAGCAGUACAGAGAUGCCCCUGACAUUUACCUUGGUGCCACUUCUGCAGGCUGAUCUUCUCUGAAGUGCUUUGCUUGAGGCUUUGGAUGCAGGGAUCAGAGCAGCACCGUAGUGGAGUCAGAAGAAGUGGGAUUGAAUGGGGGAGGACUGUCACACGCAGAAUUCCCUUGUUCCUAAGAGCUGAAAAUAGACCACAACAUUUGGUGCUUCAUGUUUCCACUUCAUCCUAUGUCUUGCAUUAACACAACAGUCCUAUUCCUCUUUCUGAGAGUAUUUUUCAGCUGUACAUUCAUCCACUGACAGGAUCUGCACAUCGCUACAGCACACCUCCCGUGUCCUGCACUGGGAAGUGAGAAGAAACUCAGGUCACUUGGAGCAUCCAGGCAUGAACAUGUUGGUAUUAGUAAAAUGUGCUUAAACCUAAUACAUGCUUUGAUCUCCUCCCUUCAUUGCCUACCUUGGUAAAUUUUUCUAUGAUGUGUUUACUAUUCUGUGCAUGAAAUAGCAAUGUCUAACCUCUACGCAAGGUUAGAUAGCAAGGAAUUAAAAAAAGGUCCCAGUAUGUGGAAGAGCUCUUGCUUUGCCAAGUGAAUCUCACACACUGAGGCUGCUCUCAGUGAUGACCAGCUACAAGUUGCGUCAUGUUCUAUGGUUUCCCCUUCUCCCAGUAUUGCCGUGGCUUCACCAACUCCUGCUUUAGGCAGCUGCUGUGUCCGUGUGCCAAGUGCUGGUAAAGGCACAGAAAAAGUAGGCAAUGGAACUGUCUGUCUUAAAAUAAAUGCGAGCUAUUAAGAGGGGAGUCUGCAUGCAGUUAAGCUGUACUGUAGUGUCCUAGAUUGCUGAUCAUCUACCAAGGGGGAAGAAUUCAGUUCAGUUUUAAGUUUUUAAUGACUUUUUUUUUUCUUCCUGCAGAAUCACAGAAUUUCCAAAGUAUGUCACAGGACCAUUUAUUUCUAACCUCAAAGUUAAAACAUUUUCUGUGAGUGACUUUCUUUUUCCACCUUCAUUUGCCCUUUGUUCAUUGCUGCCUUUGGUGUGAAUGGGUCUCUUUGUCAAUAGCCUGUUCUUUUCCAUUUUUCCGUUGUUUCACACAGUGAUGAAGACCUCAGGGUUUGCCUUUUUCCUUUCUUCUCACUCCUCUAAUGUUCUCGUAUCUUUUUUUCCUGAUCACACUGUAGAUGGGUACAAAGUUUGCUCCAGCAAACUCAGUUCUGCCCAGCGAGUGCACGAGGUGAUGGCGUGCUGUCUGUGCCAUGGUAGGUUUGGCUAUUGUCUAGCAGAGUGUCACUCAGAAAGGAUUUUGACACCAAAUUUUGGUAAAAAAAGAAAUGUAAGAUGGUGACUUGUAUGUGAUUACCUGCUGAGAAUGUUGGUGUGAAAAGAACGGUGUCAAUGAACCUGGAGUUUUCAUUAGAAAAAUGUGUUUGUGUAAAAUAAUAAAGAAAGGAAAAGAAAAGCCUACAUGCAAUGUGGAAAGGCACAGUCUAACUUUUCAGUGCAACUCAGUCGUACCUGGACUUGUGUGCUGAAUGCCAGCACCGUAAGCUGUAUGCUGGCAGGGCAAGGCGUUGCAACCCCACUGGGCUGCAGGACGUGUGACACGCCAGUGUCACCAAAACACCUUCAUCUUCACUGCGAGCAGAGUCUGCUUGGUGUGAGGUAGCUGAGAUAGUGAGAGGGAGCUGUACAGGCCCAGGAAGCAGUGAUUUCCCACAGAAAAACUGAGACAAAAGCUUGGAGCUGCCAAGUCACCUUGGGCAACCUUUUCAUCCUUCUCAUAAUCUUUCUUCCAUUGCCAAUCGUAAGGGGUGUGGCUGCUCAAAGAAAAUGCUUUAUUCCCCUUUAUGCCACAAGUCGUGAUUCACACUUGGACUGAAAUAGUACACUGGAAUUUACCGUUGGAUCUUUUUUGAACUUGGAUCUAAUAAAAGGCUCAUUGUUUCAGUUCUAAUUAGUUUUUAAUUGCUGGGCUUUAUGGCCUUCUAAGACCAAUUCUUUUCUUACUCUGCAGUUAAUAUCUGCAAAUGUUUUCGAAUGGAAUGGUAUCAUAUAACAUAUCAUCUACAAGCCAUGUAAUUGUAUUCUUAGGGGAGUGGGGAAGCAAUUCAGCGCAGGAAUUUAUAGCUAAUUAAUAAGCUAUCAAAAAUCCAGGUAUGGAUUAGCACUUUGGCUGAUUAGAUAGCUAAAAAUUGCAGAGCAACACUUCCCCUAGAUAGAAGGAUCUCAUUCACUACACUUACGCACAGGCUGUGCUCUUAGAAUGGCAGAGAAUAAUUCCGAUGGGGGGGGGGGGGGGGGGGGGGGGGGUAGAUCUUGAUUCAUUAAUUAGGAACCCAGAAAAUUAGUGGUACAUCUGGACUACGCGAGGUUUGGGAGUGAGCCUGUAGCUCACUCUGCGCUUGCUGCACUACUUCUCAAAUGUCCUGGGCUGCUGUGCAGCAAACUCCACGCAUGUGUGACUUUUCCACCUGACUGACACGGCGGUGUGGAUGUUGGCAAACAGUGCAGUGGACGUAGUACGGUGAUAGGGUCCCCAGCUGCUGCUGCAAGGCUGUAGUAUAUUUUUUUCCUGCUGCAGUGCCUGAGGAUCAGCUUGAUUUUUUUGUCUCCCAUAAUGAGAAUACUUUGUAUGGGUGGAAGGAUUCUUUAAUUAAGUAAAUAGCUCUGGCUUUCAGACACUUAAGCCGCUGCUGCUCCUGCUUUUUUGUGUGUGUCCCAAACCUCCCCUUUUAAUGCAAAUAAAUUUUCCUUUGUGGCUUGGCUAUGAGCGCUGUCCUAGCGUCACCUCUUCCAAGUAUGCACUCUUGCAGUUUUUUAUAGACUGUAUUUAAAUACGGGCCUGUGUAGCAGCCAGUGCCGCAAUCCUCCAGUGCUGUUCUGCUGGGCAGCUAGAUGCCACUCUGUUUCUGACUUCUGUCCACCGUUGGCAGCAUAGCCGGGUGCCUGUAAAUUACCAAAUAUCGUAAUGAGCAGCGGCAGUUUGGCGACUGACUUCUGUGUGUAAGCUAUGUGUACAGCACCAAGUUAGCAAAUGCCCCAGUCACCUCUUCUCUGCUCCCAGUAAGAGGGGAGCAGCUGGCUGGGGAGCAGGCAUGCUUGUGCACGUCAGCAGCACCGGGCAGUACCAGUGGGGCUGUGCCGGUUCCCCUCCUGCAGUCCUUCAUGCCGUGGAACUGGCCUUUCCGCUCUUCCCUUUCUCACUUACUCUUUAGAGCAGUGUCGAUUCUCCCUGCACCCGUUACUGCCAAGACUUUUAUUGUUACGAGUCGGUGCGAUAUGGUGGCACGUUUAACAAAAAAUCAAGUUCCGUGAUUCACAACUGCCAAUAGGUCAAUAGGACAUUGCUGUUUGGGUAGCAAUGAAGGGAGGCACAGAGCCCUAUGCACUGUGAGUAACUUCUGCACUAUCUCAAGCCAGAAAUAAUCGGUUGAAACAGUAAAAAUGAGCAUUAAUUGUUCUAUCUUCUUUUGAGUCAUCGUGCGCUGACAGGGCUGUGUGGGACCCGGGGAACGCCCCGGAGCUGUGCUGAAACACCCUCUGUGGAACCUCAGCUUUCCUUCUGCUGCAUUCAGCACUGUGAUUUCCCUGCAUCUUUCUAAACCCAAGAACAUCUCACCUCGCGCUGAGAUGUCCGCGUAGAAGUCUCAAGGGGAAAACAUUUAAGGUUUGAAUUAUUUCACUUUAUUUUGUUGUAUUCGUUGUGAUCUAGAGGAAAAAGUGGAGUUUUACUGUCUGUGCCUACGUCCGUUAAGAGGGAUAUAAUAGCAGGCGAGGAGAGGAGAGAGCGAAUGACUGCCGGAGUGAGAGGUGUGGGAAGCAGCGUGCAGGUACUUGUGGGAAAAACAUUCAGGGCCACAAUGGCACAGGGACCGCAGAACAGGUGAGCGAAACCGUUCUCUUCAGGGCAGGAGGGCCGCUCUGCCCUCCUUCCUGCGUGCUCUCCUCCACCACGCACGCACUGAGCGUGAGGACGAUGGCGCGGGGCCUUAAGGCCACCCGCCC
ensembl:lncRNA